UACAGAGGUGGCAAGCGUUGUUCGGAAUUACUGGGCGUAAAGGGCGCGUAGGCGGCCCGUCAAGUCCCGUGUGAAAGCCCCCGGCUCAACCGGGGAACGGCGCGGGAAACUAGCAGGCUUGAGUUCGGGAGAGGGAAGCGGAAUUCCUGGUGUAGCGGUGAAAUGCGCAGAUAUCAGGAGGAACACCGGUGGCGAAGGCGGGUCUCUGGGCCGAUACUGACGCUGAGGAGCGAAAGCGUGGGGAGCAAACAGG
rnacentral:rRNA from 1 species